rnacentral:tRNA from 1 species
GGUUGUGGCUCAGUGGUAGAGCACUUGCCUCCCAAGCAUGAGGCCCUGGGUUCAAUCCUCAACACCA